UUUUUCCCGCCCUUGGCCUCUGCGGGAGUUUCCAUCCUGGAAUCGCGGAUCCUCCACCGAAUGCUUGUCGGGACUCCAGAAAAUCAGUAAAAUGAGUAAUGGACUCUAUUGAGAAGGCAAUACAGACCGUGCUACCACAGCUAGAUGAAGCGAAACUUGAAACUUUGGUCAAUGAGCUGGUGAAAGUAGGUGUUGAAGGACCAGAUGAUCUGCAGUUCAUUCAAGAAGAUGACAUCAAACAUCUUCUCACACCCAUUCAGUGCAGAAAGAUUCUUCAUUCCUUGAAAGUUGACCUCAAAUCACCCAUCUAGGCUGAUUAGUAAUUGAGAUAUAGCCAUUUCAACC